rnacentral:rRNA from 1 species
GGUAAACGCUGGCGGCGUGCUUAAGACAUGCACGUCGAACGGCAGUCUUCGGACUGUAGUGGCGCACGGGUGAGUAACGCGUAACUGACCUACCCCAAAGUCGCGGAUAACGAUUCGAAAAAAUCGCUAAUACGAGAUGUGAUGUCAGAUUGUGUUCUGCCAGUAAAGAUUGAUUGCUUUGGGAUGGGGUUGCGUUCCAUCAGCUAGUUGGUGGGGUAAAGGCCCACCAAGGAGACGACGGAUAGCCGGCCUGAGAGGGUGGCCGGCCACAGGGUCACUGAGAAACGGGUCCCACUACAACGGGAGGCAGCAGUUAUGAAUCUUCCACAAUGGGCGAAAGCAUGAUGGAGCCACGCCGCGUGAGGGAUGAAGGUCUUCGGAUCGUAAACCUCUGAAUCAGGGACGAAAGACACUUCGGUGGGAUGACGGUACCUGAGUAAUAGCACCGGCUAACUCCGUGCCAGCAGCCGCCGUAACAC